rnacentral:misc_RNA from 1 species
GGAGCGGGCUUGCUCGCGAAGGCGGUGGAUCGGUCAGCAGGUGUAUUGACUGACACACCACCUUCGCGAGCAAGCCCGCUCC